AUGCGGCCGGCGUCGAGGGAGAAACGCGGGUCGGUGUCGCACGAGCGCCGCCCCAAUGCGUUCUCCGAGCCGGCUUCCCCUCGGAGGCGGCGCCGCCGAAGGAACGAUGGCUUGGAUGGCUUCUCCGGCGGUGGCAUUGCCGCUGCAGCGGCCUUGCUCACGGCGGCCUCCUUCUUGAGCUUCUGCUUGCGCCUCCAUUUCUGCCACUUCUUGCUGAACACCGAGGCGCCAAAGAAGCUCCCGGCGAUCUCUUUCAGGUCUUUUGGCGGCGGCUUCACGGGCUCCGACGACUCGAGAUCUGUGUGA
rnacentral:rRNA from 1 species